GUAUGUAUGGAAUGAUUAUAAUUGUACAAACGUAAAUCAUGCGCCUCAUAUUUAUAUUUACGGACCCUAAAUCCAAAAUCACCCGAACCCUUUUGUUUGAUUAAUGAGCGAUUUCUUUAGAGAAAACAAGAAGAAUUGCGGGUUUAGGGUUUCUCAAUUGCAGAGUACAAAACCACACACCAUACAUCGGAUGUUUCAGAUGUCUGAACUUAAAAACCCCUCUUCGAGUAUUUAGGGUUUUUCAAUCAACUUGAUGUAGGCGAGAAUCACCAGGUCAUUGUUGUUGUAGAUGUUUCUGAAGCGGAACCAAGUCAUCGAAAGCCCUUCCAUAUGAUACAUCUGGUCAAACUUUAUGGCAUUUGAGAAACCACAGGGGCCCCACCUCAGCUGGUUGGCAGAUUUUCUAACACCUUGAAGUUUAUCGUCGAAAAGAUCCCUACACUCAUAUGAAAAACAAAAUGCAAUCAUCAGCCAAACUGUGAUCCUAUAUGUUGGUUCAAACCUGUAACACUCCUGGAGCUAACAGAAACUGAAACAGAUUAUGCAAUAAUGCUAUGGCCCACAUAUUCGACAAACUUGUCUCGAAAUACAGUACUGGGGCAGUUACUGACUUACUGGAUAUGUCAUAUAGUUGUGAGAGAUGCUUUUGAAGCGGAAGAAUUUGCUGAGGUGGCAACGAAGCCACUGAAAGCCCUUCUGUAUGACACACCUGGUUGAAGUUUAUGGCAUUUGAGUACCCCAUAAGGGGUCCCAGCUGUUGGCAGAUUUUUUGACGUGUUGAAGUUUAUCUUCAAAGAGGUAAUAACUUCUCAUCUCAUGUUAUAACAAAGUACUAUAGUUGGCAAGUUUGACCUAUUUACUUUAGGAUCUAUUGAUUCGGGCAACGUUUGUCAAACAGGCCCAAACAAUUCUUUUUAACUUCGUAAAAUCUUAUAAAUCAUUUUUAAACAGGUUAGGAGAUGAUUGAUAUAGUAUAUGUGUUGUAAUAAUAUUGACCCUUGUUUAUAUAACAAUAGAGAUUCUGGACUGUAAAAUUACCUCUUUUUUACCUGAUUCUUGUUACCCGACUUGCCUGACGUGCCAAUUUUCCAUGUCUAUUAAAAUUGUUCCAUGACUUUCAUCGAACUCAUACAUAAGUCUUUGAACUUUAUUUUUAUAUGAAAAUUUAAAAAAAAAAACUAUACCUAUUUUUUAACAAAAUUUUUUAUUUUUGCGUGUUGAAGUAAACUUAUAGAAAAUAUCAAAUAUGCCCCUUUUGCAUGAUUAGGUCCCUAAACUUGUAUGAAAAACAUCAUUAGCCUAAUUGGUAAGUAAACAUGUUAGAAAAUAUCUUCAUUUGCCUUUUUAAUAGCGGUGGCUGAAUGGGUGAGUUAAGUAAUGGGUCAAAAUGGUCAAAAUACGGGCUAGGCCAACCUACACUCACUCUUUUUGUUCAUUUCUUCGAUUUUUAAAGUUUCAUAUGUGUAUAAUAUGACUUAACUAAAUUAGUUAGAUCUUCUAUUAAAAAAGUAUUUUAAGAAAAAGGGCCGGGCCUGUGGCCUAGUGGUACCAAGGUUUACCUCCUUAUGUGGUUUAGAGGGUGCGUGAGUUAGCCAUACAAAAAUAAUAAUAAACGCAUUUUAGGAGGUCUUUAAGAAUUUGAGUACAAUAUGUAUAGCUUCCAACUUGUUUGACCCAUUUUCCUUUUUGUUAAACCAUUUGACCUGUUAGAUGUAAGAUAUACAUGGGUUCAAACUGCCACCUCACUAGUUUAUGUGUAGGUUUGUGGUAGCGCUACACUGUAUAUUAAAUUUUCAAUACUCUUGGAGGAGAUGGUUUAGUCGUUGAAACUGAUAAAGAUGUAAAGGUUCUUUGAUUGGACAUUAUCUUUUAAAAUACAAACUUUAUGCCUAUUUAUAGAAGUGCGAUUUCAACCAUUUGAUAAAGAAUUGGUUAAUGAGGGACUUGGGUUGUAUUCUAUCUCAAACAGAAUUAAUAGCUUAUAAUGAAACGAGUCAAAUGGGAUAGACCAUUUGAAAGACGUCCCGUGUGCUUUACAAUACAUAAAACCUCCCAAACAAUGUUUUAAAAUCCGGUUUUUAUACCGUACCGGAUUCGGCUCAGAAACGGUUUAACCGGGUGUAUAGGGCGGUUCAACCAAGUGUACCAGACAGUUUAACCGGUUCUACCGGUAUAGCCGGCCGGUGUGAACCGGUUUUUAAAACAUUGCUCCCAAAUCAUUUUAUUCAAGGAAAUAGAUUCUUUUCAGAAUAAUACAAUAAUACUUUGACACUAGGUAUCUAUAAACCCAAUCCGGCCUGUUUUAGCCUAGCCGCCCAUUUUGCCUCUUCUACCUGCUUUUCAUCCGUCGUGGCUGAUUAUCGUGUUCUUGUAUGAGCUUCAGUUCUGUAAUGGUCCUUACUGCCCGUGUAGCUAACUGAAGUUGAAACAAAAUAUGCGGUAAAUGUUGUGCUCCAAUACAACAUGCUUUGGGCUAAGAAAAAUUUUCUGAGGGGUCCUAGCUCAACUGUUGGCAUAUUUUUUAAUGUGUCAAGUUUUUUGUCAAAUAGGUAAAAGCUUCUCUUCUCUCAUCAUAUGGUAUUAAAAAGUACCAGAGUUGGCAUUUUGACCCAAGUAUUUUUUGGAUUGGUCGAUUCAGGUUCCAUAUGUCAAAUGGGUAUUCUCAUCUAAAAGGUUUUUUAAUUUGUAAAGUGCUCUAAAUUGUUUUUGUUGAAAGCCUGAAAGGUGUAAAGAUAUCUUCAGUUUCAUUAUUAGUAAUAAUAAUAAUAAUAGUGUUACAUAUUAUGUAUCUUAUGUUGUGUUCGUAUGUUUUUUUAUGUAUAAUGGGCUGGAGUGAUUGGGCUUCAGAAGACAACUUGAAGGUAGAUUGGGCUUGAAGAUUGUUGGGCUGCUGGACUUAAAGAAUGAUGUUGAAAUGUUCAACCUGAACCCUACCCAUAUUAUUAUUCGGGUCAAAGACUUCAACUCUAACCCAACUCUAACCCGACCCACAUAAAUUUGGGUCAACCCAAACCUGACCCGUUUAACCCGUAUUUUUAAAUGAGUCAUAUAAGUUGACGAUAUAUAAACGAGUUGUUGGGUUUUAAGUGGGUUAUCGAUAACAUGUUUAAUGAUGAGUAUGAGAGUGACAAAUAAAUAAUACAAUUUAUCAAAAUCAACAUUAUUAUAACUAACAGUGUAAAAUAGAAACGGAAAAAA